UUCUGAGAACAAGACUAUCCCGACACACACGUUAUCCACAGCAGUUCGCACAUUCAACGGAAUAUGUUUUGCGUUUUAUCGUUGAAGACGAAAUAUGUGGUGGGAUGCAAGAUGUGAUGCGUUUAUUUAUUUAUUUACACGUCAAGUUCCGUAGGAUCAAACUGAGGAGCAAAUCUCCGAGGUCAUGGAACGUCCACUGAAAUGAUUAAUGGUGGAACCCAAGAAAUGCAAAGAGAGGCGAGCAACAGAAAUGGAGAUACUAUUGUAAAUUUGCAAUUGCAAUACAAGAAGCUGAAAUACAAGAUGUAGAGAUAGAUGGCUGUAGCAUUGAAUAUGGACAUGAAGUUGCCUGCAGCAUGUUCCAUCUGCCCAUCAACACACAAUUAAAAGCAUGCACUGUACCUCAGUGGAACACAUCAGCUUCGAAGCCAUGUUUACCAACGCACUACAGAGACGUCAGAUAGCUGUAGCGAUGCCAGUGGUUCAAGCUUUUACAUUACACAUUGCAGUGAACAGAAGACGAACGACUUUUAUGGUCAAAUCUAUGGCGAGGCGCUAGAUUUGAUCAUAUUUAUUUGACAACAGGCGAGAUUUGACAAAGUUCCCUAUUACACCAUCAAAUUUCUUAGACAUAAAUAUUUGACAAAUCUACUUUGACAAAGAAAUGUGAUGGUAUAAUACUGGCCUAAGUAGUAUUGUGAUAGUUUAUUGUUAAUAUAGUGUACAGCUUAAGUUAUGUUUGCCUGUCUUCUAUUGGUGUGUACCUUGAAUUGUUCUGUAGUCCUGAAGGCAAGGAUAUAGCCAGGAUUUUGUCAAAGGUGAUUCUGAUUAUAACUUAAAAAACUCAUGUUUUUCAUUUAUUAUUAAAAUGUCUGUAAAGAACGAUAAACCAUUUUAUUCAACAGUGAUUUCGGAGUUACCAUGAACAUUAUCGACAGGACUCUUGGAAUAGAGAGAUCUGUGAUUGACAGGAGCUAGAACAAUUUUUGGUGGCGAAAUUGCAAAGGAUCUAGAAUUAUUCAGCCUUAACACUUUCCCUGAUUUCAUCAUUUAAGUAUGCAUCUGUUACUUUGUGCAACAUAAGAAAGAUCAUGUUAUGCAUUAAGGAAUGUCCUGGCAGAUGAAUGCAUGAGCCUAAAAUAGGAGAAUUUAGAUUGUUAUUUAUUUAUCAUAUACCCUCGAUGCAGCUCUUUUUCAUUUAAGCAGAUGGGUUGAAUCUGCAAGGGAACUGGAAUCUGUCAGGAAGGAAUUGACUGCGGCCUGUGGUAAGAGACCAACUGUGAUGUUUGCUUAAAUUGAGAAUGGGAAACCAUAGAAAAUUAUUUUUGAGGUUGCCAGAAGGUGGAUUCAAAGCACCUCGUCUCCCAAAUCCAGGUUUUGCUACCUCAUCACACAGAAAUACCCCAAGUCAGUGGAGAAUUUGGUAAAACUGGUUGUUGUACAUUGUUUUGAAGUAAAAUAAAGUGCAUCACAACAAAACACUGAAUUCUGACAUUGCAUGUUUUUCAUUUGAUAGUUCAUGAAUACAUGCAUAUUUAAAGAUUUGUGUGGCAUUGCGGGCUUCAGUUGUUAUAGCUUUACAAGAGCAUAAAUAGAUUUUCGAUGUAAGGGGGAGGGAGGGAUGUAGGUUGCAGUCCUCCCAGACUUAACCACUUCAACAAAUCCUUAAUAGCCUACCACAUGUACCUUAGCAGUAACAGGCUAUAGACCAACAGCCUAACUGUAUUCCACACAGGAAACAAUGGUAAAAAAAUUGAUCUGCUGUAACAAUUAGAAAUAAUGUUACACUAAGUAAAAUCUUCUGAAAACAUGUUGAACAGUGUUUAGUAGCUACAGUUAUUUCAGUAAUUUUGAAAGUUGAUUUUUUCUAAAGAAACAAAUAUUUAAUAGUGCAACCAUGUGAUAAUAAAAUCCGUAUUUGAUGUAUACACAAGUAAUUGUUUUGUAAAUGAUAUACUGUAUAACUAAUAAUAUAAUAGCUUUGUAUCUCCUUUGAAAUACACUAUCUGUGUAUUUGUGGAAAUGCAGCAUGUUUACAAAAUGUACUGUAACAUGAAAAAUAUGUAUACAAAACAGGUUUACCCAUUCUGUGCUUACAAAAACCAUGUAUUCACCACUGAAAACAUUUAAGUUAUUUUUUGAUUUCUAUUGGUUUUAUAAACUUGCAUUUGCUGUGUACCCACUUUAUAUAUACCAUUACAAUCUCACCAGGACCCAAAUUAACCUAAAUCUAUAAAAAUAAUCGAUAUAGAUUGUCAAAACACAUGAAGAUGA